GGCGGCCCUGGUCAGCGGGGAGCCGCCGCGGCUGCGGGCGACGGACGAGCGGGGCUGGUUCCGCUUCCAGCGGCUGUAC
rnacentral:tRNA from 1 species